UAUUUUUGGAGCACAUAUAAAACUCCUCUUAAAGUAGGGUCAAAACAAUCAGAUUUUUUUUCAUGUGCGACGAAAAAUUUUUACCAAAAAGACAACCUGAAUUAAAGUUGAAAUAAUGAUUUCCACGAAUCAUGCAAAAUUUUCUUGGGGAAAUUAUUUUGCGCGUUGCACCACAGCCUGUAAGUUGUAAGAAACUCACGGAUUUUAUCUGUCGGCGAGUUCAAUCAAUUUACAUAUUGUUUACUAAUGUAAACGAAUUCAUGUUGACUUUCUAAGAAAUAAAAAAAAAAGAAACGAUUUUAAAGAAAAAAUAAAAGCUCUUGGACGUAUUCUGAAAGAAGUUGAAACAGUAAACUCAAACUAUAAAUUAAAUUUGCUCAAAAUUCACUCGACUAACCCAAAAUAGUAUAGCACGUCUCUGGCCUGAAAAUGAUAGCAUGAUUAUUUUUAUCAAAACAUACAAAAUAUUUGCUACAACCUGCCAGAUUCCACAGUUGAUUAAAGUUUGAAUUUUAAGAAUUCUUGCUAUGAUAUAUUUUUUACUAUGAUUUUGGGUUUACAUAACAAGACACCCUCCAAAAUAACAACAAAAGAAAGUGUUAAAAAUGUCAUGGUUCCGGUCGGCACCAAGUAACGUUGCACGCAUGAAAUUGACAAGUAAUUGUUGUCCAAUCAUGUUUAUGUUUUUUAACUGCAACAUAAUUCUUUUCGUUGGUUAUUGCGUUGCUUGUAAGUACACUGAAUAGAAUGGAGAUUUGCUGUUCAUUUAAAACGAUUGUUGGAGGAACCUGUGGAUUCGACAGAAAAGAUCGAAAGCAAGACACCACAGUUNUACCUUUACAAGCAUGUAAAAAAGAAAUCAAUGCGCAUAGAUCCGCAUUUCAGUUUACGGGCAUCGAGAAUGAGAUAGAUCUGAUUCUUAGCCGAGCAGCCAUAUUUACUUCGCCGGAAGAUAUCCAUAGUUGGACUGUUUGUCCCCUGCAUCGAUCCAAACUUGGGCUAGGAUGGGCUAGAGGUAAUAACGCCAGGUGUAGAGUACCCAAUACACUCUCUAAUCACAGUGAAAUCAAGGGAAAGUGGCCAAAGUGCGAUAGGGGUAUUAGUAAGGACGAUUCGCAGCUGAUAUUAAAGAAGACUGGCAUUUCCCUGCAAGUUGGAUCAGGUAAGAAAUAUGUAAUGAAUAUUUAAUUUAUGUUAAAUGAUUGUAUAUGAAUGUUCGAUAUGCUAUUUUUUUUGCCAGGUAUCUGUUCAUAUUGUCGUAAGACGUUGAAGACAUUGGGGCCAAUUAGUCCAAAUAAAGCAGAAAGUCUUCUCGAUCAGAUGAGUGCAUUACCACUUGUAAGUUAGAACUAGUAGUUCACUACUGAGGUUUUCCAUAUUCUGUGAACUCAGACAUUUCAUUGGCUUGUUGUGAAAUUGGUUUUCACUGCCGCCACUCAAGAACAAAGAAGAAUAGUGAUAAUGAGGAUGAGAAAGUAAAGUUUGGUCCACAAUUUACCACCCCAACGUUUCAAGCAUCAGCAGGUGUUGUUACGGAAACCCCUAUGAGCCUAUAUCAACCUGGCAAGACAUCUUUUGCUUCCACCAUCUCAGAAGAUGAAUAUUGGUCCUGAACUUCAUAUGGGCUGGGCCUUAAAAUCAUCUGCUAAGAUCGAAAAAGCGGUUUUCUGAUACACAGGAAAAGUACCUAGUUGAUGUGUUCGAUGCUGGGGAGCAAACAGGUCAAAAAGCCGAUCCAGCUGAUGUAUCGAGAGAGAUGAGAUCGGCCAGACACAUCGACAGUUCACGUCAUUUUAACAAGAGCGACUUUCUAACAUCACAGCAGAUCGCUAGCUUUUUCUCGCGCUUGGCGAAAAAGAGGAGGACAACAGCAGCCGAAGAUGAAGAUAAUGAUGAUGAUGACGGUGCUGCUGCUGAUGAUGGUGAUGACGAUGACAAGGGCAAUGACGAUAUAAAUAACGAUUUCGAAAAGCAAAAACAAAAAGAAAUCCAAGAAUUGACGAAAAUCUUGAUGGGCACAGUGGUUUUACUUACACUAAGGCCUACCUAAGUUUAAAAUAUUAGCAAAAUCAAAUUUUCGACCCUUGCCGCGGAUUUGCCAAAAUGUCUGAUUUUUGCUGACAACCACUCUUAAGUAGUAAAAUUUGGAGAAUUUCAAGUUUGUUGGUGGGUAGUAUCACUUUAAGUCUCCAUAAUUUUGAAUCCACCAGAUGAAAUUACUUGAAAGUCUGUAAAUAGUUCGGUUUUACUUUCCAGAUGAAUUUUUACAAUUUGUUAAAGAUUCUAUUGUAAAGUUUCAGAGAACAACUAAGUCUUUUUAUGCAUAAUAUGCAUAAAUUAACGCCGAUUGCCAUUACACACCCAACACUCAAACUUCAAUAGUCCCUUUCACAGUUCUCUACGCCAUCUUGAAAGGUAGCCGUGCCUUUGCUUCGAAGAGAGACGGACGGUGAGCUUGCAAUGAUAGAGACCUUUUUUAAGCACCUUGGACAAUUAUUCACAUGUCUUUAUCAUUGCAAGGUCACUGUUCGUGGUAGCAGGAAACAAAUUACACAAAGUUCCACUGCCUGUCGCCCGCAUUUCAUAACCUGAGGUUAUAACCAGCAGUCAUUAUCAUUAUUAUAAUUGUCGUCUUUGUUAGUUAGUUAGUUAGUUAGUUUAUUUAUUAAUUCAUUUAUUCAUUUUCAGAUCCAUGAUAUACUAAAAAGUAAACUUAAUAUCAUUCCUCAAGGCUUAUCAUACUGUAUCUAUCCUCAUGGGAUCAUUAUGAAGAUGGAAAUGUGGAUGUAACUUUUGACGGAGGAGUUAAUCUCCAUUGGCAAUAAAAAUGUAUAGAAGGCAACACACUACAAAAAAGGGAAGGGCGUAAAGAAAUUCUUUAAAGAAUCGACAAGCAUCGAGGAAGCAGGCAGUCCAAUGACUUUGAGAAUUCCGUUUGGUUUCGGAAAAGAAAUUACAAAACCGAACAAAUGUUUUAAAAAUAAAAUAAAAAUAAAAGUAGAGUCAUCUAUCGCAAUAAUCCUUUGGCGUUCCAUUCAUUCUACUAAGAGCCUAAAAGCGAUACCCUUUUCCCUAAAUCCACGAGAUAAAUAAAGAUUCAAAAACAGGA
rnacentral:misc_RNA from 1 species